rnacentral:lncRNA from 1 species
AAAAUGAGGGCUGGACUGAUGUAUGGAAGGAUCCCGCGCGCUGGCUGCAACAGAGCCGGCAGGUAAAAGCAGUAUCUGGAUCCUGGGUGAUGCGACAGGAAGGGGAUGUGGUGUGGAUCCCGCUACCCUGGGAGACCAGACCUACAAUAAAAAAAAAAAUUAAAAAUAAAAAAAUAAAUAAAUUAAAAAAAAAAAAACGAGGGAGGGACGCAAAGCCAGGACUGGAGCGUAGGUAGGAUGGGAUGAGAACAGCCCCCCUCCCCCAAACAGAAGAGAGAGCCUUGGCAACCGGACAGGGUCCUGGAGCUGACCAGGCUGCAGGAGCGGAGGAGAGGGCUGCAACCAAGGCUUUGCAUUGAUGAUACUGUCUCAUUCUGCAGCAGUCUGGCCUGGAACUGCAGAACCCAGGCUGGACUCAAACUAAUGGCAAUUCUCCUGCCUCAGCCUCCUGAAUUCUAGGACAUCAGGCUCCAAGGGGACAAAUAAUAUAGAUGCCAGCAAAUGGCUUUGCUGUGUGCUCACUGGGAGAGAAACGCAUCAAAGAACUUCUCCUGGUAUUCUGGCUGAUGCUGGUCGCUUCUGCUGAUGCUUCUGCUGACUCAGGGAUGUAGCAGACCCUUGAGGCUUCUGCUGGAUUGAGCUGCUACUACUGAUUUGUGUUUGGUGUUUGCUGUUGGACUGGACUGCUGGUAUCCUGACAACAAAGAGAGGAAUCGUCCCAAGAAAACCACUUCUAGUCAGGUCCACCCGUUUCCAAUUAACCUUCUCUUCCCCCUUUGUCUGGUUGGUAAGUUAGAAGAGCAGAUUAAGAGUUUAAGAACCUUAAAUAAGGGGGCUCAAGAGAUGGCUCAUCAGUUAGGAUUCCUGACUGCUCUUCCAAAAAUCCCAGGUUCAAUUCCCAGCAACCACAUGGUAGUUCACAACCACAUGUAGUGGGAUCAGAUGCCCUCUUCUGGUGUUUCUGAAGACACCAACAAUGUACUCACAUAAAAUAAAAUAAAUAAUUCUUAAAACAAAC